rnacentral:lncRNA from 1 species
CGGAUACGCAAUCAAUUCGCUUAAAGCGUACAGAUACAGCGCCUAAGGUCUCGAUUGUGACUCGGCUCAUCCAACCUCACACCACUUCGAACAUGACUCAGCCCACCUAGCCUCACGCCAUUUCGAACAUGACUCGAACCAAUAUAGCGUCUCGCCAUAAGCUAGGAUACUGGCCCAUUUAAGCCAACAAUCCUCCAUCCAGCACUUGCACAUAUUUGCAGCAUGCGUGAAUCGAACUCGUGACCUCUGGCUCUAAUAUCACUUGUCGAAUCGUUGGCGUUAACCAUUAAUCCCAAAAGUUCGAGCAGUUAGAAAUACAGAACCAAUUCACUUAAAGCAUACAAAUACAGCGCCCAUGAGUCUCGAUUGUGACUCGGCCCAUCCAGCCUACACCACUUCAAACAUGACUCGACCCAUCUAGCCUCACGCUUUUUCGAACAUGACUCGGUGCAACAUAAUCUCCCACUAUAAGACAGAAUGCUGGCCCAUUUAAGCCAACAAAACUUAUUAUGAAAUAUAAUUAAUCAAAGAAAUUCUUUCAAAUACAACUUAAAUACAAUUAAGAUUGUGAGCUAAUCUUAUGGUGAUGUCAUUUGAGCAUGUCCAAGCAGGAGAUUUGGCCGAAGAUGUGCAUAUAGUUUGGGACAGACGGAGUGGAAGGAUGGGGUCUCAGUCCAUAAGCGAUGGUUUAGCUGGACUAAUUGCCUGUUGGUGGGUUAUUUGGGAGACUAGGAAUGGUGUGAUCUUUAGGAGGAAUCAAACUGAUCCAAUUCGUAGUUGUUAUAAGGUUAAACAGCUGACGUCCCUGUGGGGGAAUCUUCGCCCUAUGGAGAAACACUGAUUUUUUUUUCUUUUCCCGUCUUUGUCUGGCUUUUCAUCUCUUUAGAGGCCUUGUGCCUCACCCAUGUAGCUAAGUUCAUAUCCUGAAUGAAUGAAGUGGG